CCGUCGAUAGCUCAGUUGGCAGAGCGGUGACUGUAGGUGGUUUCAUAAUCCAUAGGUCGCUGGUUCGACUCCGGCUCGGCGGA